AUUGAACGCUGGCGGCAGGCUUAACACAUGCAAGUCGAGCGGGGGAAGGUAGCUUGCUACUGGACCUAGCGGCGGACGGGUGAGUAAUGCUUAGGAAUCUGCCUAUUAGUGGGGGACAACAUCUCGAAAGGGAUGCUAAUACCGCAUACGUCCUACGGGAGAAAGCAGGGGAUCUUCGGACCUUGCGCUAAUAGAUGAGCCUAAGUCGGAUUAGCUAGUUGGUGGGGUAAAGGCCUACCAAGGCGACGAUCUGUAGCGGGUCUGAGAGGAUGAUCCGCCACCCUGGGACUGGGACCCGGCCCAGACUCCUACGGGAGGCAGCAGUGGGGAAUAUUGGACAAUGGGGGGAACCCUGAUCUAGCCAUGCCGCGUGUGUGAAGAAGGCCUUAUGGUUGUAAAGCACUUUAAGCGAGGAGGAGGCUACUCUAGUUAAUACCUAGGGAUAGUGGACGUUACUCGCAGAAUAAGCACCGGCUAACUCUGUGCCAGCCGCCGCAGUAA
rnacentral:rRNA from 1 species